rnacentral:rRNA from 1 species
GGGCCAGCCGCCCGCGGUAAUACGUAGGGCGCAAGCGUUAUCCGGAAUUAUUGGGCGUAAAGAGCUCGUAGGCGGUUUGUCGCGUCUGCCGUGAAAGUCCGGGGCUCAACCCCCGGAUCUGCCGGUGGGUACGGGCAGGCUAGAGUGAUGUAGGGGAGACUGGGAAUUCCGUGGUGUAGCGGUGAAAUGCGCAGAUAUCAGGAGGAACACCGAUGGCGAAGGCAGGUCUCUGGGCAUUAACUGACGCUGAGGAGCGAAAGCA